GUGACUAUUCUUGAUAUUGAUUGCAUUUUCUAGUUGUAUUUGCAACCACAGACAGUCACACACAGCAAACAGAUGCUUCUCCCAACAGAAGCUGUGCAGUUAACAGAUUUUUCUGUGCAAUGGCUCCAUACAUU
ensembl:scaRNA